rnacentral:rRNA from 1 species
UUAAAAAGCUCGUAGUUGGAUUUCUGUGAUGGGCAGCCGGCCGGCUCUUCGGAGUUGUAGCUAGGUUUGUUUGUCGCAUCUUGUCGUAAUUCUCACUGGCAUUCAUUUGUUGGUGUAGAGGACCGACUCGUUUACUUUGAGAAAAUAAGAGUGUUCAAAGCGGGCUAUCGCCUUGAAUUUGUUAGCAUGGAAUAAUGAUAUAGGACUUUUUGGUCUUAUUUUGUUGGUUGUUCGAGGACCGAAGUAAUGAUUGAUAGGGACGGUUGGGGGCAU